GCCGGGCUAGCUCAGUUGGUAGAGCAGUGGGAUCAUAAUCCACGAGUCAUUGGUUCGAGUCCGAUGCCCGGUACCA
rnacentral:tRNA from 1 species